rnacentral:rRNA from 1 species
UACGUAGGGCGCGAGCGUUGUCCGGAUUUAUUGGGCGUAAAGAGCUCGUAGGCGGCUUGUUGCGUCGUCCGUGAAAACCCGUGGCUCAACUGCGGGCUUGCGGUCGAUACGGGCAGGCUGGAGUUCGGUGAGGGGAGACUGGAAUUCCUGGUGUAGCGGUGAAAUGCGCAGAUAUCAGGAGGAACACCGGUGGCGAAGGCGGGUCUCUGGGCCGAUACUGACGCUGAGGAGCGAAAGCGUGGGGAGCGAACAGG